rnacentral:pre_miRNA from 1 species
AAAAAAGCAAACCGUGGGUUUGCGUGCCAACGUUUGACUGUCCGUCUUAUAUGAAAUUUUUUAAUAAUUAGUAUUUUUAUUGUUGUUAGAUGAUAAAAUAUGAUUAAUACUUUAUGCGUGACUUAUUUUUUUAAUUUUUUUCAUAAUUUUUUUAAAUAAGACGGACGGUCAAACGUUGGACACGGAAACCAGGGUUUGUCUUUUU